CGCGUGUGUGAAGAAGGCUUUCGGGUUGUAAAGCACUUUCAGCGAGGAAGAAGGCCUCUGGGUUAAUACCCCAGAGGAAGGACAUCACUCGCAGAAGAAGCACCGGCUAACUCCGUGCCAGCAGCCGCGGUAAUACGGAGGGUGCGAGCGUUAAUCGGAAUUACUGGGCGUAAAGCGCGCGUAGGUGGCUUGGCACGCCGGUUGUGAAAGCCCCGGGCUCAACCUGGGAACGGCAUCCGGAACGGCCAGGCUAGAGUGCAGGAGAGGAAGGUAGAAUUCCCGGUGUAGCGGUGAAAUGCGUAGAGAUCGGGAGGAAUACCAGUGGCGAAGGCGGCCUUCUGGCCUGACACUGACACUGAGGUGCGAAAGCGUGGGUAGCAAACAGGAUUAGAUACCCUGGUAGUCCACGCCGUAAACGAUGUCGACUAGCCGUUGGGACCUUUAAGGACUUAGUGGCGCAGUUAACGCGAUAAGUCGACCGCCUGGGGAGUACGGCCGCAAGGUUAAAACUCAAAUGAAUUGACGGGGGCCCGCACAAGCGGUGGAGCAUGUGGUUUAAUUCGAUGCAACGCGAAGAACCUUACCUACCCUUGACAUCCAGAGAACUUUCCAGAGAUGGAUUGGUGCCUUCGGGAACUCUGAGACAGGUGCUGCAUGGCUGUCGUCAGCUCGUGUUGUGAAAUGUUGGGUUAAGUCCCGUAACGAGCGCAACCCUUGUC
rnacentral:rRNA from 1 species